ACUCAAAUGAAUUGACGGGGGCCCGCACAAGCGGUGGAGCAUGUGGUUUAAUUCGACGCAACGCGAAGAACCUUACCUGGGCUCGAACGGCUGCAGACCGCCGGUGGAAACACUGGCUUUCCCGCAAGGGACUGUAGUCGAGGUGCUGCAUGGCUGUCGUCAGCUCGUGUCGUGAGAUGUUGGGUUAAGUCCCGCAACGAGCGCAACCCUUGUCCUGUGUUGCUAACCCCUUAAAAGGUGCACUCUCAGGAGACCGCCAGCGAUAAGUUGGAGGAAGGUGGGGAUGACGUCAAGUCAUCAUGGCCUUUAUGUCCAGGGCUACACACGUGCUACAAUGGACGGUACAAAGCGCUGCAAACUCGCGAGAGGGAGCUAAUCGCAAAAAACCGUUCUCAGUUCGGAUUGCAGGCUGCAACUCGCCUGCAUGAAGCUGGAAUCGCUAGUAAUGGCAUAUCAGAACGAUGCCGUGAAUACGUUCCCGGGCCUUGUACACACCGCCCGU
rnacentral:rRNA from 1 species